rnacentral:rRNA from 1 species
AACGUAGGACGCAAGCGUUAUCCGGAGUUACUGGGCGUAAAGGGCAGGCAGGCGGGCUGGUAAGUUGGAUGUGAAAUCUCCUGGCUUAACCGGGAGGGUGCAUCUGAGACUGUCAGCCUGGAGGGCAGCAGAGGAGCGUGGAAUUCCGGGUGGAGUGGUGAAAUGCGUAGAGAUCCGGAGGAACACCAGAGGCGAAAGCGGGGCUCUGGGCUGCACCUGACGCUGAACUGCGAAAGCCAGGGGAG